rnacentral:rRNA from 1 species
CACGUAGGGCGCAAACGUUGCUCGGAAUCACUGGGCGUAAAGAGCGUGUAGGCGGCCAUACAGGUCCGUUGUGAAAACUGGAGGCUCAACUUCCAGACGUCGACGGAAACCGUGUGGCUAGAGUCCGGAAGAGGAGAGUGGAAUUCCCGGUGUAGCGGUGAAAUGCGCAGAUAUCGGGAAGAACACCCGUGGCGAAGGCGGUUCUCUGGGAAUAUCCUGACGCUGAGGAGCGAAAGUGUGGGGAGCGAACAGG